UCGCCUGUUNAUCAAAAACAUGUCCUCUUGAAAGAAAUNUGAGGUCUGGCCUGCCCACUGAGAUUAAUCUUAAAGGGCCGCGGUAUUUUGACCGUGCAAAGGUAGCAUAAUCAUUAGUCUUUUAAUUGAAGGCUAGAAUGAAUGGUUGGACGAGGUAUUGACUGUCUCCGUGCAGAUGAGAUUAGAAUUUAACUUUUGAGUGAAAAGGCUUAAAUGUUUUUAAAGGACGAGAAGACCCUAUAGAGCUUUAUAGUGAAUUUUUUGUAGUUUAUUUGGUUGUCUUCUUACUAUAGAAAAUUUAUUAUUUUGUUGGGGUGACAGGAAGAUAUAAAAAACUCUUUUUAUUUGUGAAACAUUUAUGUAUGAAUUAUUGAUCCAUUAUUAAUGAUUAAAAGUCUAAGUUACCUUAGGGAUAACAGCGUAAUCUUUUUCGAGAGUUCUUAUCGACAAAAAGGGUUGCGACCUCGAUGUUGGAUUAAGGGUAAUUUUGGGUGUAGAUGUUCAAAGUUUAGGUCUGUUCGACCUUUAAAUCCUUACAUGAUCUGAGUUCAAACCGGAGA
rnacentral:rRNA from 1 species